rnacentral:rRNA from 1 species
AUUGAACGCUGGCGGCAGGCCUAACACAUGCAAGUCGAGCGAGCGGCGGACGGGUGAGUAAUGUAUGGGGACUGCCCGUUAUAGGGGGAUAACUACUGGAAACGGUGGCUAAUAACGCAUACCGUAGGUUAACCCAUCUGGGAUUAGCUAGUAGGUAAGGUAAUGGCUUACCUACGCGACGAUCCCUAGCUGGUCUGAGAGGAUGAUCAGCCACACUGGGACUGAGACACGGCCCAGACUCCUACGGAGGCAGCAGUGGGGAAUAUUGCACAAUGGGCGCAAGCCUGAUGCAGCCAUGCCGCGGGUAUGAAGAAGGCCCUAGGGUUGUAAAGUACUUUCAGUCGGGAGGCGUUACCGACAGAAGAAGCACCGGCUAAUUCCGUGCCAGCAGCCGCGGUAAUAC